AGCAUGCCAUUCCUGCCACUCAGAAGACUGUGGAUGCUCCUUCUGGAAAGCUGUGGCGUGAUGGCCGUGGGGCUGCCCAGAACAUCAUCUCUGUAUCCACUGGUGCUGCCAAGGCUGAGGGCAAGGUCAUCCCAGAGCUGAAAGGGAAGCUCACUGGCAUGGCCUUCCGUGUUCCUACCCCCAAUGUGUCCGUUGUGGAUCAGACGUGCCGCCUGGAGAAACCUGCCAUGUAUAGAUCUGAA